AACGAACGCUGGCGGCAUGCCUAACACAUGCAAGUCGAACGAACCCUUCGGGGUUAGUGGCGCACGGGUGCGUAACGCGUGGGAAUCUGCCCUUUGCUUCGGAAUAACUCAGGGAAACUUGUGCUAAUACCGGAUGAUGUCUUCGGACCAAAGAUUUAUCGGCAAGGGAUGAGCCCGCGUAGGAUUAGGUAGUUGGUGGGGUAAAGGCCUACCAAGCCGACGAUCCUUAGCUGGUCUGAGAGGAUGAUCAGCCACACUGGGACUGAGACACGGCCCAGACUCCUACGGGAGGCGGCAGUGGGGAAUAUUGGACAAUGGGCGCAAGCAUGAUCCAGCAAUGCCGCGUGAGUGAUGAAGGCCCUCGGGUCGUAAAGCUCUUUUACCAGGGAUGAUAAUGACAGUACCUGGAGAAUAAGCUCCGGCUAACUCCGUG
rnacentral:rRNA from 1 species